rnacentral:snRNA from 1 species
ACGAUUCAGCAGCAUGCGUACUAAAAUUGGAAUGAUGCAGAGAUUAGCACUACCUCAGUGCAAGGAUGGCACACAAAUUCAUAAGGCAUUCCAGAUUUGU